rnacentral:rRNA from 1 species
AUUGAACGCUGGCGGCAGGCCUAACACAUGCAAGUCGAACGAGUGGCGGACGGGUGAGUAAUGUCUGGGAAACUGCCUGAUGGAGGGGGAUAACUACUGGAAACGGUAGCUAAUACCGCAUACCAUAAGAUGUGCCCAGAUGGGAUGAGCUAGUGGGUGGGGGAACGGCUCACCAGGGCGACGAUCCCUAGCUGGUCUGAGCGGAUGACCGGAGCCGCGGGGACUGAGACUAGGUCCAGACGGCGACGGGGGGCAGCAGUGGGAAAUAUUGCACAAUGGGCGUAAGCCUGAGGCAGCAAUGCCGCGUGUAUGAAGGUGGCCUUGGGGUUGUACAGCACGUUCAGCGGGGAGGCGUUACCCGCAGAAGAGGCACCGGCUAACUCCGUGCCAGCCGCCGCGGUAAUAC